UGGCGAACGGGUGAGUAACACGUGGGUGAUCUGCCCUGCACUCUGGGAUAAGCCUGUGAAACUGGGUCUAAUACCGGAUAGGACCAUGCUUUAGUGUGUGUGGUGGAAAGUUUUUUCGGUGUAGGAUGAGCCCGCGGCCUAUCAGCUUGUUGGUGGGGUAAUGGCCUACCAAGGCGGCGACGGGUAGCCGGACUGAGAGGUUGGUCGGCCACAUUGGGACUGAGAUACGGCCCAG
rnacentral:rRNA from 1 species